AGAAUAUAAGAAACCGUUUCUUAACUUUUAACUAAAAAACAACUAAGAACCGACUCGUAAAUAUCUUAUUUAAGAGCCGGUUCUUAGCUUUUUUAGUUAAAAGUUAAGAGAUAGUUUUUUAUAUUCA
rfam:Brassica oleracea var. oleracea cultivar TO1000 chromosome C3, whole genome shotgun sequence